rnacentral:rRNA from 1 species
GAUGAACGCUGGCGGCGUGCCUAAUACAUGCAAGUCGAGCGAACAGACGAGGAGCUUGCUCCUUCGACGUUAGCGGCGGACGGGUGAGUAACACGUAGGUAACCUACCUAUAAGACUGGGAUAACUUCGGGAAACCGGAGCUAAUACCGGAUAAUAUUUCGAACCGCAUGUUUCGAUAGUGAAAGAUUGCUUUGCUAUCACUUCUAGAUGGACCUGCGCCGUAUUAGCUAGUUGGUAAGGUAACGGCUUACCAAGGCAACGAUACGUAGCCGACCUGAGAGGGUGAUCGGCCACACUGGAACUGAGACACGGUCCAGACUCCUACGAGAGGCAGCAGUAGGGAAUCUUCCGCAAUGGGCGAAAGCCUGACGGAGCAACGCCGCGUGAGUGAUGAAGGUCUUCGGAUCGUAAAACUCUGUUAUUAGGGAAGAACAAACGUGUAAGUAACUGUGCACGUCUUGACGGUACCUAAUCAGAAAGCCACGGCUAACUACGUG